GGGGGAGGCGGUGGUGGGGCAGGCCCUGGCGGCCGUCCCUAUCUGGAUCCUGGAUUUUAUAGGCGAGAGUGGAGUGCGCGCGUCGCCGAGCCUGCCUGCGCGCGUCGCCGAGGUGGGGAUGGGGCCAGAGGUGGUGCCCCGCGGAAACCGUCGUCGUGGCGGCUCGCGCGCGCCCUGACUCGGGCCGUGGGCCGCGGCUUUCCUCCCUGCGGGGUGGGCCCGGGCCGGCGUGCCGCCGCCUGAGUUAUUUCAGUACCUUCCAUGAUGUGGUCAUUGCUGGUGGUGCUACUAGUGUUCUUUACAGUGUUGCUGGUGUUAUGAAACAAUUUGGCUGUCCGUUUCUACCCAAGAUCCAAGCAAGGCUGUGUCUUUUGUCGUCGUUGUUUAGAUCAAUAAUUAGUAUCUUGUGUUGCCUAAGAAUUUAUUUAGUACCACUGUUGUUUAAUUUAUUUGCUAAGACUAUUGUAAUGCUUAUUGUUGGUGUCAUGGUGAUAUCUGCAAGAAUGGUAUCUACUAGUUAAUAUGAACCAUGUUUUCUAAAUCUGAUGUGUUUGAUA